AUUUAAAUCUUAAGCAUUAAAGCUUAUACAUAACGAGUCGGGUAACCGACUACGGCAAUAAACUGAUAUAUGGAAUAAACGUAUCGGACCCGGGGGCGGUACCCGGCGCCUCCACCAUUACAUUAAGUCACUGAUAUUUAGACUUUUAUGGGGGCGAAAUAGGAUCGACGUGCGCAAUAAAGAUAUACCUUUUGCUCAGUAUGACACCUCUGUAACGGGUCAAAACUUGUAAAUGCAAACGAUAAUGAAGCAUUUGCUGUAGCUGCCUAGUAGGUUAGUUACGCGGGGUCCGGUAGGCACCUAGCAACAGAAGCCUAC
rnacentral:tmRNA from 1 species